rnacentral:rRNA from 1 species
GAUGAACGCUGGCGGCGUGCCUAAUACAUGCAAGUCGAGCGAACAGACGAGGAGCUUGCUCCUCUGACGUUAGUGGCGGACGGGUGAGUAACACGUGGAUAACCUACCUAUAAGACUGGGAUAACUUCGGGAAACCGGAGCUAAUACCGGAUAAUAUAUUGAACCGCAUGGUUCAAUAGUGAAAGACGGUUUUGCUGUCACUUAUAGAUGGAUCCGCGCCGCAUUAGCUAGUUGGUAAGGUAACGGCUUACCAAGGCGACGAUGCGUAGCCGACCUGAGAGGGUGAUCGGCCACACUGGAACUGAGACACGGUCCAGACUCCUACGGGAGGCAGCAGUAGGGAAUCUUCCGCAAUGGGCGAAAGCCUGACGGAGCAACGCCGCGUGAGUGAUGAAGGUCUUCGGAUCGUAAAACUCUGUUAUUAGGGAAGAACAAAUGUGUAAGUAACUAUGUACGUCUUGACGGUACCUAAUCAGAAAGCCACGGCUAACUACGUG